rnacentral:rRNA from 1 species
GAAAUGCGUAGAGUUGAUCGUGGCUCAGUCGUAACAAGGUAGCCGCUAUGGACGUCUCUGUAUCAAGGUGAGUGGCGAACGGGUGAGUAACACGUGGACAACCUGCCUCAAGGCUGGGGAUAACAUUUGGAAACAGAUGCUAAUACCGAAUAAAACUUAGUGUCGCAUGACACAAAGUUAAAAGGCGCUUCGGCGUCACCUAGAGAUGGAUCCGCGGUGCAUUAGUUAGUUGGUGGGGUAAAGGCCUACCAAGACAAUGAUGCAUAGCCGAGUUGAGAGACUGAUCGGCCACAUUGGGACUGAGACACGGCCCAAACUCCUACGGGAGGCUGCAGUAGGGAAUCUUCCACAAUGGGCGAAAGCCUGAUGGAGCAACGCCGCGUGUGUGAUGAAGGCUUUCGGGUCGUAAAGCACUGUUGUAUGGGAAGAACAGCUAGAAUAGGAAAUGAUUUUAGUUUGACGGUACCAUACCAGAAAGGGACGGCUAAAUACGUGCCAGCAGCCGCGGUAAUACGUAUGUCCCGAGCGUUAUCCGGAUUUAUUGGGCGUAAAGCGAGCGCAGACGGUUUAUUAAGUCUGAUGUGAAAGCCCGGAGCUCAACUCCGGAAUGGCAUUGGAAACUGGUUAACUUGAGUGCAGUAGAGGUAAGUGGAACUCCAUGUGUAGCGGUGGAAUGCGUAGAUAUAUGGAAGAACACCAGUGGCGAAGGCGGCUUACUGGACUGCAACUGACGUUGAGGCUCGAAAGUGUGGGUAGCAAACAGGAUUAGAUACCCUGGUAGUCCACACCGUAAACGAUGAACACUAGGUGUUAGGAGGUUUCCGCCUCUUAGUGCCGAAGCUAACGCAUUAAGUGUUCCGCCUGGGGAGUACGACCGCAAGGUUGAAACUCAAAGGAAUUGACGGGGACCCGCACAAGCGGUGGAGCAUGUGGUUUAAUUCGAAGCAACGCGAAGAACCUUACCAGGUCUUGACAUCCUUUGAAGCUUUUAGAGAUAGAAGUGUUCUCUUCAGGAGACAAAGUGACAGGUGGUGCAUGGUCGUCGUCAGCUCGUGUCGUGAGAUGUUGGUUUAAGUCCCGCAACGAGCGCAACCCUUAUUGUAGUUGCCAGCAUUCAGAUGGGCACUCCUAGCGAGAACUGC